rnacentral:rRNA from 1 species
AUUGAACGCUGGCGGCAUGCCUUACACAUGCAAGUCGAACGGCAGCACGGGAGCAAUCCUGGUGGCGAGUGGCGAACGGGUGAGUAAUACAUCGGAACGUGCCCAGUAGUGGGGGAUAACCCGGCGAAAGCCGGACUAAUACCGCAUACGACCUACGGGUGAAAGCAGGGGAUCGCAAGACCUUGCGCUAUCGGAGCGGCCGAUGUCAGAUUAGCUUGUUGGCGGGGAAAAGCCCACCAAGGCGACGAUCUGUAGCUGGUCUGAGAGGACGACCAGCCACACUGGGACUGAGACACGGCCCAGACUCCUACGGGAGGCAGCAGUGGGGAAUUUUGGACAAUGGGCGCAAGCCUGAUCCAGCCAUGCCGCGUGCGGGAAGAAGG